rnacentral:rRNA from 1 species
CCUACGGGAGACAGCAGUGGGGAAUAUUGGGCAAUGGACGCAAGUCUGACCCAGCAACGCCGCGUGAAGGAAGAAGGCUUUCGGGUUGUAAACUUCUUUUAAGGGGGAAGAGGAGAAGACGGUACCCCUUGAAUAAGCCACGGCUAACUACGUUCAAGCAGCCGCGGUAAUACGUAGGUGGCAAGCGUUGUCCGGAUGUACUGGGUGUAAAGGACGUCAAGCCGGGCCGACAAGUCAGAUGUGAAAUCCGCGGGCUUAACCCGCGAACUGCAUUUGAAACUAUAGGUCUUGAGUGCCGGAGAGGUAAGCGGAAUUCCUGGUGUAGCGGUGAAAUGCGUAGAUAUAAGGAAGAACACCAGUGGCGAAGGCGGAUUACUGGACGGUAACGGACGGUGAGGCGCGAAAGCGUGGGGAGCAAACAGGAUUAGAUACCCCUGUAGUC